rnacentral:misc_RNA from 1 species
GCUCACCAUGUGCAUUGCCACUGCCUAUAUGUAUCACCAACCAAAAACUCUUAGUAAAAUUGGAAAUAUCAUCAACAGUUACCAUAUUUUAUUUUCAAAAGAUGUAAUGCUUUUUUUACUAAUUAUUUUAUAUUUUUAAUUUAUUAGUGUGAAUAAAAAGUUAUCAAUUUUAUGGAUGUGUGUCAAUAUUGAUGAAUAUGAUUGCGGGUCUUCUAUUUAAUUUAUCAGUUACAAUUAGUUAUUGAUAGUCAACAGUCAAUAAUUAAAUUUCGACUAUUAGUAUUAGCAAUUGGGGAGUUAAAAAGCUGACAACUGAAAAUUUUAGGGUCUGUUAUAAAUUGUGAAAAAUUGAGAUAAUAUUUUAGAAAAUGUUAUAAGAAGGUUGGAAAACAAAGUUUUGUAUUAAGCAUGUCAGUUUUUUAUAUAGAGAAUUGGAAAAUUAAUUUUUUACUUUUUUAAAAUUUAAUUAAAAUUUGG